rnacentral:tRNA from 1 species
GCUCCCGUAGCUCAGGGGAUAGAGCAUUCGCCUCCUAAGCGAAGGGUCGUGCGUUCGAUUCGCACCGGGAGUGCCA